GGGUUGGGUUGGAAGGGUCCUGGAAGCUCACAGAGCCAUGGGAUGGUUGUGUUGGGUUGGGUUGGGUUGGAAGGGUCCUGGAAGCUCACAGAGCCGUGCAACCCCUUCCCCAGAUGUGCGUGACGUACUCCAAGCAGUUCACCCAGCUGGGGAACAUCGUGGAGACAAUCAAGUUGGAGCAGCUGGCGGAGGAAUGCCGGCGCAGCAUGGAGCUGCUGAAGCUGAGCCACGCGCGGGGCGGCCCCGUGCCCAGGCACCGCUACGAGCAGAGGACCUUCAACGUCAUCAAGUGGGGUCCCCCCCCCCUCUGCUUUGGGGUCCCCCCCCUCUGCUUUGGGAUCCCCCCCCCUCUGCUUUGGGGUCCCCCUUCUGCUUUUUGGGCUCCUUUCUCUGCUCUUUGGGGUCCGCCCUCCGCUUUGGGGUCCCCCCUCCGCUUUGGGUUCCCCCCUCUGCUUUGGGGAUCCCCCUUAGUUUUGGGCAUCCUUCCUCCACUUUGGGGUCCCCCCUUUUGCUUUGGGGCACCACCUCUACUUUUGGGGUUCGCUCUCUGCCCUUACGGGUCCCCCCCUGCUUUAGGGGUCCCCCCCUCUGCUUUAUGGGGGUCUGCUCUCUGCUUUGGGGUCCCCUCUUUGCUUUUGGGGUCCCCCUUCUGCUUUUUGGGCUCCUUUCUCUGCUCUUUGGGAUCCCCCCUCUGCUUUGGGGUCCCUCCUCUACUUUUCGGGUCCCCUCCCUGCUUUGGGGUCCCCCCUCUACUUUUGGGGUUCCCCCUCUGCCCUUAGGGUCCCCCCCUCUGCUUUAUGGGGGUCUGCUCUUCGCUUUGGGGUCCCCCCUCUGCUUUUGGGUCCCCCCUCUGCUUUUGGGUCCCCCCUCUGCUUUUGGGUUCCCCCUCUGCUUUUGGGGUCCCCUCUUUGCUUUUGGGGUCCCCCUUCUGCUUUUUGGGCUCCUUUCUCUGCUCUUAGGGGUUCCCCCCUCUCCUUUAUGCGGGUCCCCCCUCUGCUUUAGGGUCCCCCCUCUGCUUUAGGAUUCCUCCCUUCUGCUUUAUGGGGGUCUGCUCUCUUCUUUGGGGUCCCCCCCUCCUCUUUGGGGUCCCCCCCUCCUCUUUGGGGUCCCCCCCCUCUGUGGGUCCCCCCAUUNGUUGGAAGGGUCCUUGAAGGUCAUGGGAGCAUGGAAUGGUUGGGUUGAAUUGGAAGGGUCCUUGAAGGUCUUAGAACCAUGGGAUGGUUGGGUUGGGAGGGUCCUUGAAGACCAUAGAACGCUGGAACAGGUCAGAAAGGUCCUUGCAGGUCAUGGGACCAUGGACUGGUUGGGUUGGGUUGGAGGAGUCCUUGAAGAUCAUAAGAUCAGGGAAUGGGUUGGAAGGGUCCUUGAAGGUCAUAGAACCAUGGGAUGGUUGGGGUGGGUUGGGAGGGUCCUUGAAGGCCAUAGAAUCAUGGAAGAGGUUGGAAAGGUCCUUGCAGGUCGUGGGACCAUGGAAUGGUUGGGUUGGGUUGGAGGAGUCCUUGAAGAUCAUAGGAUCAUGGAAUGGGUUGGAAAGGUCCUUGAAGGCCACAGGACCAUGGAAUGGUUGGGUUGGGUUGGGUUGGAGGGGUCCUUGAAGGCCAUAGAAUCAUGGAAGAGGUUGGAAAGGUCCUUGCAGGUCGUGGGACCAUGGAAUGGUUGGGUUGGGUUGUGUUGGGUUGGAGGGGUCUUUGAAGGUCAUAGAACCAUGGAACGUGUUGGGUUGGGUUGGGAGGGUCCUUGAAGGCCAUGGAACAGGUUGGAAAGGUCCUUGCAGGUCAUGGGACCGUGGAACGGUUGGGUUGGGUUGGGAUGGAAGGGUCCUUGAAGGCCAUAGAACCAUGGAACGCGUUGGAUUGGGUUGGGGGGGUCCUUGAAGGCCAUAGAAGAGGUUGGAAAGGUCCUUGCAGGUCAUGGGACCGUGGAACGGUUGGGUUGUGUUGUGUUGGGAUGGGAGGGUCCUUGAAGGCCAUAGAACCAUGGCACAGGUUGGAAAGGUCCUUGCAGGUCAUGGGACCAUGGAA
ensembl:lncRNA uncharacterized LOC110391659